rnacentral:rRNA from 1 species
GCUAGUAAUCGCGGAUCAGAAUGUCGCGGUGAAUACGUUCCCGGGUCUUGUACACACCGCCCGUCACACCAUGGGAGUCGGAAAUGCCCGAAGUCAGUGACCCAACCGUAAGGAGGGAGCUGCCGAAGGUGGAGCCGGUAACUGGGGUGAAGUCGUAACAAGGUAGC